rnacentral:rRNA from 1 species
AGCACUAAGUCACUUUGUCUUUAUGGCAAAUGUGAGAUGCAGUGUAUGGAAUGUUCAAUUUCUAGUAUGAAAAAUUAACGAUUUAAGUCCUUCUUAAAUGAGGCCAUUUACCCAUAGAGGGUGCCAGGCCCGUAUAACGUUAAUGAUUACUAGAGAACAUUUCCAAAGAGUCGUGUUGCUUGAUAGUGCAGCACUAAGUGGGUGGUAAACUCCAUCUAAAACUAAAUAUAACCAUGAGACCGAUAGUAAACAAGUACCGUGAGGGAAAGUUGAAAAGAACUCUGAAUAGAGAGUUAAAUAGUACGUGAAACUGCUUAGAGGUUAAGCCCGAUGAACCUGAAUAUCCAUAUGGAAAAUUCAACAUUAUGACUGCGGUAUGAAUAAUACUGUGGGAAUGGUGUGCAUUUUUUCCAUAAAAGGACAUUGUAAUCUAUUAAUAUUAUGAUUUAUCAUAAGAUCAUUGGCUUAAGUUUAUUCAAAUUAUUAUGCUUGCAUUUUAACAUAGAAUAAGUGCUGGUGAUUUGAUAAAGUGUUGAUAGAUUUAUUAUAUAUAGCGCUUGAAUAUUUUAUAUUCUAUAAUGGCAUGGUAAUCAUGAUUAUUGUGUUUAUUAUAUGCGUUUAUAUGAUUAACAAUGCGAAAGAUUCAGGAUACCUUCGGGACCCGUCUUGAAACACGGACCAAGGAGUCUAACAUAUUUGCAAGUUAUUGGGAAUUAAAAAACCUAAUAGCGUAAUUAACAUAACUAUUAUGGGAUUAGUUUUUAGUCUAGAAAUAGUCUAUUAAUUCAAUCCCGGGGCGUUCUAUCAGUUAUGCAUAAUAAUAUUUAUAUUAUUUAUGCCUCUAAC